CAGAUGGCCGAGAUGACAGUGAAGGAAUUUCCCAAAAUUCCAAAGACGUUUCACAUCAAGUCAUCAAAACAAUGUCUUCAACAUCUACGAAGGGACAUGGCAGAAUAAAUUCUCAGAGGAUCAGUUUCAAAGGAUGACUUCUGUUCCUUCUGUGGAAUUGAGGACCUGCCCACAACUGCUGUUGAUGCUGUUUGGAUUCAGUGUGAAACUUGUGGGAGAUGGUUUCACACGCAGUGCCUCGGAAUGCCUGCUGCACGAAUACCCAAAAAGAAUACCCCGUGG